CUGGAAGAUUUUUUUUUUUUUUUCCCUCGCUGUCUCCUAUGCUGGCAACGUCCUGCGAGUGGCUGUUUUGCUUUCGCACUGAGAGAAGAGCUUUCCCCCUCACCCUCUCUGCUGACAGGGGACAUGCCCACCAGCAAUGGAAUCCAUCUACACCAUCACUCAAAGAAGCAUCCAGAAGCAUCCCAGAUGACCUUUCCUGUCACAGACACAAUACAAGAGAAACCACUGGAAGAUAAACACUUUAAUUUGAAGACUUUAAUUACUGUUUGAUAUGAACACCUUAUGGAUGAAAUCCACAUACUGAUGUCUAACCUGUAACAAAUGCCAAUGUUUUGACCUUUCAAUAGAGAGCUGAUUUUGGAGAACGGCUUACUCCUGUGACUGAAAAACUCUCUGGAAGGUUGAUGGAGCAUGAGCUUGAACUACAGUCUUAAACAUGAAUUCAGAAUUUCACUGUUACUUCAGGAGAGGAACAAUCAAGGAGCAAAAAUAAAAAAGGAGAGAAGAAAAACUCACUAAUCUUUCCCCCAUGUGGCCUGCCAAACCUUUUUUGUGCUUACGGAUAGCCCUGUUAAUUUGCAGAAGUUGUUUAUCAUGAACUGACUAGAAGGCUUAUUGCAGUGAAGUGGAGUGCUUGGGUCCAUGCUGAGGACUGAUCGUAAAUAAAGGAAAGACAUAUAUAAGUUUGCUUUGGUUUACCUGAAAACUGAACUUUUUAAAGAAGCCAUCUCAAGCUACACCUGUCUAACAAUGCUUUGGUAAGUGUGGUUUUUUUAUAUAUUUAAAAACUAUAAAAAUUAUGUUACUUUAAUUGUCAGUAUUUUAUUAAUAAAACCCUUAAAACUGUGUAUUCAUUUUUACAGCAUUUUUUAAAUGAAUGGAACUGGGAAAUUUUUGGUCAUGCUUUUAGCAAAGAGAACUCACAAAGCAAAAGUGUCUUCCAAAUUUUUUAACAAAACCUAUUAAUCACUUCAUUUCUGAAUCUGCUAUAGACACAUAACAGUUUUAUUGUUAGAAGUUUAAACUGUGGAUCCGACUGAAUUUACUAAUUUUUUUCUCAUCUUCCACUAAGAUUUUUCUCUUGCAGGAGAAUCUUUCAUUGAGAUUGAAAUCACUGCAGUGAGAAUGGAAAUUACUUGGGCUCCUUUCCUUUUAAAAGCUGCAUGCAAGAACUGUGUGGUGAGUCAAAUGUAGACUAAUGGUUAUGUAAAUGUCACUAAUUUUAGAUACAGAUCUGAAAGUGUGUUUCCUUUUAAGAUUUUAUUUUCUUCACUAUCAUGACUCAGUAUCACUUGCUAAUCUAAUUUUAUUAGCCCUGUUGUAUUUUACCAUUUAAAAUACGCAUACCUUCUUCAAUUAAGUGCUCACAGAGUCAAGUUUAUAUAUCAUAUAGAUGUUUUAAAAGGAGGAGAAAAGCUUAUCUGCGCUGGGGAUUUGUUUUCACUUCAGCCUUCACAAGCCUGCUACUGGUGCAGUUGCACAGGUACAAACAUGAUGUAGAUGAAUAUGAAUCCAAGUUUUUAUAAUUCAUAAAUUUGCAUUAUUUGACUGUAUAGAAUUUCAACCUGGUGUAUGUGCUGCUAAAAAUUACGCUUUUCUUGUCUGCUACUGCUACAGAUUUGAACUGUUGAAACUACUGAUGGCUAAAAUUCUCAAUUUAGUUCAGACCUGAGCAGUUCUCAGUAGCAAAGCUGUGCAUAAUUAGAUAGCCUAUGGCUUUUCGUAAAGAACACUUCCAUGUGUACCCUUACCUUUUACAGGUCUCUUAAGAUAUGUGACCAAAAAGAGGUUGAUUAUUUAGAAAAAAAUAUGCUAUCUGACUCAAAGUUUGGAUAGCUUUCUCACUAAAUUUCUUAAAGUAGCACUAUGUUAUUUUUGCUUAUUUUUAACUACUUAAUAUUAAAGACCUGCACAUACAUUUCAACUGUUUUAAAACUUAAAACUGCUUGGCUGUACCAGGUUCUAUGAGUUAUAAAAGAAAAACGUGUUAUUCUUCUACUAUGCCACUUCCUUUAAAGGUCACUGAUUUUUGUCAGCCAACUGUAGACUGCUGCUUGCAGAGGAUCAUCCAUCCUGUUGCUCUUAUAGAUCUGGUGUUUUAAUAUAUCCAGGAUUUUUCCCAGGGACUUGUAUGAGUAGAUAUGAAUCUAAGGAGCUGAUCAGAAAGACCUGAGAGCAUGCAACAAGUAAGUCUAUUUGCAUGGCUUUGUCAAAGUCCAACGGCCAAACCAUGUGUUCCUGACUACUUCAUUGUGUCCAUGUAGGCCUUCAUGGGAUCAGUGAAACAGGCUGUUUCCUUCUGCUUCUCAAUGCAAACCCCUAUCACUGGCACAAGGCAGGAGAUGGCAGAGAAGGGGAAGAAGCAGAAGGGUGAAGGUUGGACCACCUUGUUUGUUGGCUGUAGCAACUUAAAACAGUUCAGUGACAUGAUGAAAAUACAAUCUGAGCAUUUGCAGAACCAGAGUUCAACUGAGGAACUGAAGUUCCUGUCAGGAUUAAGAAAAUUACUUGAAGUGCUUAUGAAGACCUACUCAAAUGAUUUGUAUCCUAAACUUUUGGAAAGGAUGUUGUAUUUCUCACAUGGUUCACAGGUGGCUUAAAUAAUAUUAGUAGUUAUAUUUUCCAGAGGUUUGCCUGCAUGGAUGGUGCCACAGGCUGUGACCAAAUCAAACUCUCUGCAUUGCAACUCUGGGAUCCUAAGGACUGUGCCUGAUGUGAGAAAAGAAGACUCACUGUUUUCAGUUCAGGUGCUUAUUUUCUGCUAGGCUUAGGAACUGCACAGGAAAAAGAUGCCUAAUUCAUAUAAAAGAGAAAGAAAGGUAGGCCUGCUUGAAAAUAAACUGAGACUAGUAGCUGUAUAGGUGUGAAAAUGUCUAGUGAGAGGAGCAUGUCUAAAAAUCUAGUGUUGAAAGACUGGAGCUGAGAACUGAUAGGGGAAAGACAGAUCUGAUAAACUGGAAAAUCUGAAGGAUUGAAUUGGGUUGGGCAAAGAUUUAGAGUUUGUUUCUUGAAAUUGGAAGAAGCAGCAGCCUGACAGAAAGGAUCUGGCUUGAGGCAAAGAGAACGAGUCAGGCCUGGGAGAAAGGGCUUGCACACUUCAGAUCAUUCCUAAAAUUCACUAGGGUGUUCUGCACUUGAGAUCCAGAAGGGAAUGUAAACUGUUAAGUAGUAGCUUUUGCUGUCAUCUGCAAAAUGACUGUCAAUUUCAUUCCCCUCAUCAUAUUCCACAUAGAAAAGAGCAAGCUUAUUAGUACCCUUGGUUGCUACUUUGUGGAUUUUGUUCCUGAAAAGGAAUCCCAAAAUAAGAGUACUUAAGGUAGGAAAGGAACUCUGGAGAUCAUCUAAUUCAAGCAGAGUCAGACAAAGCAGUUUCUUUAGGGCAUUGUCCAAUCAGGUUUUGUUUAUCUUCAAGGAUGGAGACUCCACAACCUAUCCUGUUGAGACACAAUUUCAUGUAGUUAAUUUUGUACCUGUUGCCUCCUGUCCUAUCACUGGACACAAUGGAGAAGAGUCUGCCUAUCUCUUCUUUGCUACCCCUUACCUCCAUCAGCAGGUGUUUAGAAACUUUGAUAAGAUCACACAAACACAAGCCUUCUCUUCUCCAGGCUGGAAGGACACACAAACACAGGUUUUUCUUCUCAGCUCUCUUGGCCUUUCUUUGUGUGGAAGAUUGUUCAGGUCUCUCAUUGUCUUUGUGGAAGUAAAUAAAAUGCUUCAACUAAUAAGGGGAAUUAAAAUUCAAAGGGGGAAAUGUUUUUGUGGGGGCAAUAAACAGAACACACCCUGAUAACUGUAAAAAGAACAUGAAGAUCACAAAAUGAAGCUAUAAGAAGUUAGAGAACUCCUGCUUUAAGGUUCUGCAAUCUUCAUUUGCCCCCUUGUGUCAGUGUAUUAUGAAGCAAUCUUUGUGAUCACACAGAAUAUUCAACCUAAUGAUAGGACUGGCCUGGUGCGGGUGCUGGGCCAGGGAAGAUGUUUUUGGGCAGUGCCAACAAGAAGCUUAAUGCUGAGGAAACACUGGCAGUUCACAUUUGUAGGUGAGUUUCUUGGGAGUUGUCAUUUGAAUUAAAAUACUCUGUAAUGUUAUGUCUGCCCACAAGUCUCCUAUCUUGUUAAAGCAUACCUUAAACUGUGGCAUAGGUAGUUUCUACACCUCGAUGUCACAUUUAAAAUAGGGAUAAUAGAAAUUUCCCUUGAAUUGCUGUUGGGGUUUUGUUUAAAAAAACAAACCACUUUUGUUUAGUAGCUGUACUAGAGUACAUUUCCUCAUGGAAUUUUCUAUGGCAUUCGUCAGUUCUGAUUUUGGAGCAAGAGGUGAGUAUUGUGUAUCUUUUAAAGAUAAGAUCUGCAAUCAGCUUUCCUUGUUACCAGCUCAAGUUGAGAAGCAGAGUUUCCAUAUUGGUGAUUCAUGGUCUACUUGUGCAGUCCUGUGAACGCCCAAGUACUCUGAUUUCUGUCCUGUCUUGUCACUGAUUCAUUUUGCAAAUGUGACUCUUAUUAUUAAAUACUUGUGCCAUUUUUUAAUGUCAUUUCAUGAGUAACAUCUUCAACAUUCUGUAAAAUAUUCUAUUUACACUGAAGGUAAUGUUCACAUUUGAACUUCAGCAUAUUUGACAAUAAAUUUACCCACGAAGACCUAUUUUGCAGAAAGAAUGAGUGAGUUGUACAGUGGUAAGCAGUGCAUUGUUAACAUUGUAAAGUAACUCAAGACUUCUACAGGCUAUUGUUCUUCAAAUUUCAAAACCAGUUUUCUUGAUACUUACUGCAUAUGGCACACUUUGCUGAGUGAGAGUGGUCUGCACUGGGUAUUUAGAUACAGAGAUCUGAAAAUGUUUCAGCUUUUCCCUUAAUCAUGGUAUCUUGUUAAGUAUUGAGGGAAGUCUGUCCUAGACAGCUAGCAAUACUAACGGUAAUGAUGGAAAUUUGAAAUGUUUAGACUUCCUUUAUCUUCUUCAUCACAACCUGUCAUAGAAAUCACAAGAAAUGAUAGAAAUAUAUCCAAAGUGGUGAGCUGCUAUUUUUUUUUAAACAAAAAGUUUAAAAUGUACUUGAGGGAAAACUUACAUCUGAGAUAUAUGUGAAUCUCCUUUCUAAGGUGGAAGUUGUGUGUAUCAGAAUAAAAUGUUUACCUAUAAAGAGAAAUAAGAAAUAAUUAUGGAAAAAAAUGCAGUGGCACAAGUGACAAUGCUCAUCUUUCUGUGAAGGGGAUAAUAAUCUUUGGAGUAUUUUUCACUUUACAUAGUUUAUUUCUGUUAGAAGUUAUUUAAUGGCUCUCAGGUGCAAUUCUAUUUCUUUCCACAUUUUAUUCACAUAUAAUAACUGUAUUUGUUAAUAAAUCAAAUUUGAUUUUAUCUAAUAUUGCUUCUGUCUCUUAAUGUAAAAUUUGAACCUUAUUUUUGAAAGUUCUGAAAUUAACAAAUUAAUUAUAGCAGCAUUUAUCCAGCUUGUAACUUCAGUCUAAAGUAAACAGUGCUGAGUAGCUAAAGGCUGACUUAGUUUCUGUUGAAAGACAUGAAUAAUAUAUCCAUAUUGUUCUUUUAUGCUGUUUAUAGCCAUAGGAGACAGAUAUGGAUAGAAAGUUUCACAUUUCCCUAUGUUUCUGCAGGGCAAGCAAGUGGCUUUAUUACCUAUAAAGGAACCUUCUGUAAGCAGCUUUUACACUUUUAAGUGGUUUUAAAAGUAAAACAUUUUGGAAUCUCUCAACAAAUACACAGAAAAACUUUUAGUGUUAUAAAAUUUGAAGUAUAUAAGGCAAAAAUUAUAGCAUAUAAAGUCUCAGAUGUAUACAUUUUAAGCUUUUAUUGAAAGAAAGGCAAAUUAAAAGCUUCAGGGGUUACAUUAUUGGACCAGUUAGAACAGUCAACAAUAAUAUAUGACUGUGGUUCUACAGUCCUGUGAUUCUCAAGCCAGACAAGUUUUGGGACUGAGAGCCUUCCUGUUUCCUUCAACAUCGUAUGGCUCUGAUAUUUCCAUGGUGGUUUCACUGAAUGACUUUAGGUUAGUUUUUGGUAUGCUCAGCCAGCUGAAUGUGCUUGCUACGUGAGCAACAAUGCUGGCACCAAGAAAAGCACCCUCCACUCUCAAGAAUGGCAAUCCAGUUUAAAUUUAAAGUUUAAUUGCUUAAAUCACUGUAAAGAAUAUUCAGGGCCUUAUUCUUCCUUUCUUCAUAGUCCUACAGAGAGGCUUUGCCUAUCUGCUGUUUAAAUCAGUAUUAAAGAGACUAAAGACAUCUUCAUCUCCCUCUUUCCUUCUGCAGAAGAUUGGUAUCUACAUAGAAAACCAACACAAAAAUGCUUAUAUAGAUAUAGCUUCUUAGCAUAUGGAAACAGCUGCAACACACCUUUCCUGUCAUGAAGACAUUGUGAAAGUGUCCCUCUUUCCCAACAAGCGAUAUCUGGGUUUUUUUCAGACACAUCAAUAAAUACAUUAAAACUGUAUUAUCCAUCUAUGUAUAAUGGAACUUCUGACUCAAAAAUAAGAAAUUUUCAGUAACAUGAGACAAAGGUGGACAAGAGCUCUAAUGUUUUGCAGGUAUGAAAUCUGUUAAAUGGCCUGUGUGACAACCAAUUUUAGGAAGUGUCUGUGGAUGGUAGGUGGUACAGUCAGAAAAAGGAUUUCACUGCAGCUUCGAUAACAUCGUGUAGCCAGACAGCCCCCUGUUGGUUGUAUUGUUAUGGAGGUUCCAGAAGGGAAUAGUGCUUGAAUUCAGCUAUUCAUUGCUUUCAACAAGCUGGGGGCUUUUCAUUUCCAUAUCACAAAUAGAGAAAAUGGAGGGGGAAAAAAUGUAUGUGCUUGUAAAAACUACCUUUGAAUCAAGUUUUAUCUCUUGUGUAUAAGAGAAAUGUUAAAGCCUGGUUAAAUAGAGUAUCUGCGCAGUUUCUUAAUGCCUCUUAAUGCCUCUAUAGAAGCUUAUUUUUAAAACGCUAUAGUGAAAAUGUAGAGCAGUACUUUGCCCUUGUGAAAGAACUUAAGACUAGCAUACUUUAAUAUCACAUUUACAGUCUUACUAAUGCAAAGUAUUUAGAUAAACUGCUGUCAAGAAUUAAAGUAAUAGAUUUUAAAACAUAAAAGUUUGUAAGCUGGCAGUGAACUAGCCAGAUACAUGCUCCAGCUUUGUUUAAUGGCUGAGACUCUCUUGUAGGCACAUCUAAAAGAGCUUCUGCUAUUUAACAAGUCAGUUUUACCAAGAGGCUUGGGUUUGGGUUUUUUUUUUAUCUUGUUUCCUUUGCUUUAAUCUGUUCUUUGUAUGUGUUUUAAAUUGCUACCAAUGCAAGUAGCUGCAUACUUCCAGUUUGUGUUUUCCCACAAGCUGAGAAACAAAAACCUUGUUCUUCAAGUGAAAUAGGUAUCUAACAUAUUGGGAAAUUAAAGGACACAAAUUAGGUAUUUUGGCUUUUUUUUUUUUUUUUUUUUUUUUAACUAAAAGUGCUUGUAAAGAGAACCUGGGAUCUCCCUUGUAAUGGUUGUUGUAUAUCUGUGUGAUAAUGGAAUGCUGUGGGUACUGUAUGAGGUAGCCAGGAAAGUUUCCAGGAAAGACUCUGUCUCAGAGGCACAGGGUCUUGUGCUUUGACAUAAACAAUACAGAGGUGAUCUCUUUCUGUAUCAGAUAAGGCCAAGGUUAUAACAGCUCAUUUUCAUCUGAGGAACUGGAGUUGUGGCUGAAAAUCCGCAGCUGCAACAGUGUUAGAGAAACUGAUAUAAGAGUUAAUCUUCUACUACAGUACAGAAGACAGCAUGAUUCCAAGAAAGCCAAAGUGCUUAAGGUAUCUUUCUCCUAUUCAAAGCAUGUUAAAAAAAUCUAUUGUAAUCAGAUAUCUUUAAACUGUUGGCAGAAGCAACAGAGGGUGAGGAUACAUACUGUGAUUGAAAAGGGGGAAUGGGAAAGAUGGGGUCAGACCAAAGAGCUGGUUUAAAAUUGUCAUGACUUGCUAAAAUCCGUCAGAAGAGUUUAAGAAACUGGCUGAAACAAGGUGAGGGUACUCUUCCAUGAAAUAGAAAACCUGGUUUUCAGAAGCCCAAGGAGAUUGAAGUUCACAUCUCUUCUGAAAAAGGACCCAGUGGAAGUUGAAGUUGCCCACAGAUGUUACCCAUCUUUCUUGUUAAAUCAAGGAUAUGUGCAAAACAGAAAUCACAAAAUGGUUUUGUUCAAAGAUUGUUGGCAGUGAUAGCUAUUACUCUUAGCAGAUGAAAGCAAGCUGCAGGUAGGAUUUCAAAGGGUAGUGGAAUUUGCUUUUAUUGGACUAACUGUGCAGUGCCUUGCAAUUCCAUAUUCUUUUCCUAAGAUAUUUCCUGAAGUAACAGUAAAAUGAGCAUACAAUAAAUAUAAGUACCCAUUAAAGCACACUAAAGGAAUACCUUAUGUUUUCAGUAGAUGAACACUGAGAUAACUAAGUAUUUCUGAAUUGCAUCACAGAUCUCUGUUAUGCCAAAGUUCUGGUUUUUAUUGCUAAAAAGAGCACCAGUAAAGGUGGCUUUAAACUGCUUUAUGCUCCUACAUUCUCUAAAUCUGCUGAAGAUGGAAAGCAGAGAGCAACUACAUGUCUGUUCAACAGCCAGCAAAGGGAUUCACCUCUUCCCUCCUGCCAUCUACCUUCAAACUGUUUUCUUGUGUUUGAAGAAGUUUUUUGAGUUUCAGGGGAGUUUGUUUGUUUGUUUGUUUUACAAGAGAAUUUACAAUCCUCCUCACAAAUUGGCAGCAUAGGUAAGAGCCUGUUCUAGGUUGAAGAAGAUUCAAAUAACUUAUCCUGCUCAGAAAAAUUGCUACAUUCUUCCUCUUAUGAGGAGUGGUUACACACUCCAUUUCCAAAUCAGGAUUAAACUUUAGGGUUUCCUCAUGGUUCUUGGAGUAUCUUUAAUUUUUAUUUUGUUUGAACAGUUUUAGUAGCUUAGGACACAUAGGUAACUUGCAGAGCUCUUACAUUGUGUCCCAUUAUUUUACGCUUACUCAGGCAUAAAGCAGCCUGAGAAAGGCACUGCCUUCCUCUAUGAAUGUAUCUCAGUUUCCUCUAGAACUGCAGCUUUUAGAGGCUGCAGUUUAGCUGUGAGCAGUUGUCCAGAGCAGUGGAGACAUUUUUAAUGGUAAUUGACAAAAUCCUAACUGUAUCUCCAUUUUUGGUUUUGUUGGGUUUGGGUUUUUUGUGUUGUUUUAGUGGGUUUUUUUCAUAUUUAUUGUAGAGGUUUUUAAAAAUAGCACCUGGUCCUGGUGAUAUGUAAUGUUUUGAGUUUCUCAGGCUGGCAACAGGCUCUUCUUUUGAGACACUUAGGCCUGGGGAAAUUACUCUGAAUCCCCAUAAGGCACAUCCUUGAGAUAGGAAUUUCUUUGUCACCCUGUAUGUUGAAAACAAAUAAUUUAUAUUGUGCUUCUUUACCUUUGUAAUUUUCUUUCAUCUGCCUCUUGGUAUUACAUAGACAAAACAAACAAACAAAAAAAAAACACCUUCCUGAAUUCUAUUAUCUUUAAAAGUACUUGGAAUUCUUGUGUGUGUGUGUGUGUGUGUGUGUGUGUGUAUGUGUUAUACAUUGAUAUACAGGUGCUGCUUGCAACCAUUGGUAUCUGCAUCUGGAACUCUUGAGUGGGACAAUGUUGUUCAGCAGCACUUGUGAAAGCAACAACUGUUUCCUUGUGCAAGAGCGGUGUUAAUCCUGCCACACCCUCAUUUUUUUGACUACCAGUGUCUGCAAAGAGAGCUCUUCAUUAGCCAAUGAUAGUAGCAAUUUUCUUUUUCGCUAAUCUUUAUUUGUGUUUUCUUAUUCACUAAUUUAUAUUAACACUUAAAUAGAUAUUAAGAUGUGGUUUAGUUUAGAAACUGUAGCAUUUCUGGUUUGUUCAGGGUUUUUUUCUCUUUGGUUGGAGAAACUGCAUUAGCCUGUGAAGAAUUCCAUGUCAGUGCAUACCCCACGAAUGAGCACAACCUCCCUGGCGUUCAGACACUUAGUGUGUGAUGUAGUGGUGUCAUUAAAGACUAUCUGCAUAAGAUACAUUUUACUUGACUUGAUGAGCAUCACAUGAAUCUUCUGAGAAGGCUGAGCAAGCAGAACAUCUUGCCUCAAGAUGUCACAAGUGAUACAGGCAGGCACCUGGCCUCUGGUUCUAGUUUGCCUGUGCAGAAACACUUGAGAAAGACCAGAACUUUUUUGGUUUUCCCACUUCUUGUCCUAGGCUGUCAGCAAGUCUCCUAACAUGGCUAGACCUUGAUUAGAGGGUGACAAGGAACAGAACAUUUGCAAAACAGAUCCCGAUCUGUUUCUACAUAAAUCCUGAAGAAGUUAAGCAUAGCUCAAACCUGGGAGCACCAGGCAGUCCAGUGAUGCAGAAUUGGAAUUUUUCUGGUGUGUGGUCUACAGUUCUUGGAUCCCUUGGCAGCCAUGAUUCUAGAGCAGAAAUUAUCAGUAACAAUGACACCAAAAUUAAAUAUGGCAAGGUCAAAUCACUUUUGGAUAGCAGUGUUAUGAAAGUUCAGCAGGGCUGAACACUUGUUAACCACUUACAGGCUUUUUUGACUCAGCAAGUUAAUCCUUCAACAGUUCUCCUUGCUUAUUCUGCUAUCCAUUAGACAGGAUAACUUUGGGGCUAGACAAGAAGAGUUCACAAUCCUAUGCCUUUGCAUGCAGAAAAUCCUGAAUGUAUAGCGUGCAUUUCUUGCAGAGUCGAGGCGAUGCAGCCUCUUUAUGCACAAGACCAACCCCCACCUUGCUACAACCUCCUUUCAGGUAACUGUAGAGACCUUCUUUGUUGCCCCAGGCAGCCAGCAAGAGGACAACAGGAAAUGGCCUCAGACUGUACCCAGGGAAGGUUUAGGUUGCACAUAAGGAGGAAUUUCUUCUCAGAAAGGGUAAUUAGACAUUGAAGUGGACUGCCCAGGGAGGUGGUGGAGUUACUGUCCCUGGAGGUGUUUAAGAGAAGACUGGAUGAGGCACUCAGUGCUGUGGUCUACCCGACAUGGUGGUGUUUGGUUGGUCAUAGGUUGGACUUAAUCUCAGAGGUCCUUUCCAACCAAAUUCAUUCUGUGAAAGCUGCCUCCAAUAACAGCAAAUACUGAUACCUAGAGCAAAGAGAAGCUGAAGUUUUCUCUGCUGCAGAAGGAGCUGCCUUCUGAAAAUGAGGGUCUCAAAUAGUGUAUUAUUAAUAUUGCAAAUACUAAUUUAAAAUGGUUAGAAUUGCCACAGACAUCUCGGGAGGAAUUUAGACAUGGUGCAGUAGAGAGCAUUGAUGGCAGUAACAACAUUUCCAGAGACAGACAUCUUUAUAAAAACUAUUUCCUUAUGGGUUUUCUGAAGCACAGGCUUUGCAUUCUCUUUGUAUAGACAAGGUUGUUCUUAGAUUCCCAAGACAAGUAAACACCAGUUUCCAAGCACAGGCAUCACACAGCACAGGUUUUCCAACCAUACAGACCUUCAUGCCCUCCAGGAAAGCAGCACAAGACUUUGCCUCCAGUAGAAGACCUGCAUGCUUGUCACCACUUGUUUCAGAAGAGCAAAAACCCACAUGUGCAUGCCCUGAACACUCCAUAAGUGAUUUAAGAACUGGCAUUGGAUUGUUCAUUCAUGGCUUUAUCUUGGCGCUGAGGGUAGACAAGAAGAUCAUCUCUACAGAAUAGGGAUGAUCCAAACCGUAUCUGCCUGAUAUUCCACUAGCCUUGUAUGACUUCACAUGAUCAGCUUUUCUGUUCAGUCUCAGAGCCUAACUCAGAAGCUCAGUGAGAGCAUGGGUCAUGAGUCAGAGGAUAGUGAGGCACUGGGAGGGGUUGUCCAGAGAAACUGUGAAUGCCCCUUCCCUGGAAGUGUUCAAGGGCAGGUUGGAUGGAGUUUGAACCACCUGGUCUGGUGGAAGGUGUCCUUGCCCAUGUCAGGGAGGCUGGAAUUAGAUGAUCUCUAAGGUCUCUUCCAACCCAAACUACUCUAUGAUUCUGUGGGUCUGACUUUCAGUAGCCAUCCACAAGACACUGCUACAGCACAGCUUAUGAGUACAAACCGUAGCCAACAGAGAAGUCACACAAGUGUUCCUGUGCCUGUUAGUGCAUUUUCCAGCCAAGUUCUGCAGGGAAUCUCUGAAAGAUGAGUCUUGCAAAUGGAUCACCUUUUGUCCAUCCUUUUCCCAAAUGUAUCCAUAGAGAUACAGGGACUGCAUAUGGACACUAGGAAAUUCUAGAUUGCACUGUCACACUUCAAAUGUCAAACUCUAUAAAAGCAGAAAGCAUCAUUGGCCUAAUCAAGAUGGGAGAAAUAUCUCAGUUACGUUAAGAGCCAUGCAGAUACAAUUUUUUAUUUACAUUUCUGACUUGGCCAUAGUUAAUCAUUGAAGAUAUUAAUGUGUUCCAGAGAUCCACAGUUUACUGAGCCAUCUUUGGAAGAUAAUGUUUUGAAUGAUCAUAGGUAGCAAAGGAAUAUUAUAUGGCUUAAGGAUCAAAUUGCAAGUGGGGAAAACAAUGUAAACCGGUCUGUUCCAGGAGAUACAUUUCCAGUUUAUGGAAAAUUAGGAAUUUACUAAUAGGGUUAGUGCUCACCAUACUGCAACUGGAAUUGAAACAAAGUCCACCAACAGGAAAUAUCCAGAAAGUAUCCGGCAGGCUUGUCACCCCAGUGCUGCCAAAACAGUGCUGUUAUUCUGAUUUUCAGAGUUUGUCUAUUUGACCUUUGAAAGCUUAGCUUCUCUUUGCAGAUGUAAGGAAUCAGCAUGAUUAAUCCAUCUGAUGUCUGGAUCCUGCAAUGUCUCGCUUCACAGCAUAUAUGCAGAAAUUACCUCCUAGAGAAAAAUUCUCUUCCUCAGGUAUGCAAACUAUCGAUGUAAGAUGUUCUGAAGAUGCAUUAACCUAACGCACUGGGGAAAAAAAAAGUCCCUAUAGUCUCAAACAUUUACGUCUCCUCUGUAGGUUGUUCUGUGCCAUUUCCAUGUUCAUAUAGCAGCUAUCACCCACCCAUUCAUUCACCCCUGUGAGAUCUGCUUUUCCUUAUCCAGUGGAAUUGACAUUUCUGACAGCUCUGUUAACUGUCCUCCCUUCAAUAAAUUUAAAUCUAUUAUUUAAAUUUAUGUCAAUAAAUUUACUGAAAUAAGUUGUGUGUCUUUGGUCCCACAAAAGCCAUGAUUCUUUCCAGCCUAAUUUUAUUCCUUAACACCCUCUCUCUGUAAUAGGAAAGAAGGGAGUUGGCCGCCUUCUGUGGAUCUCUUCUGCCUGCCCUCAUCACGUAGCCUUUUCCUCUGUUCCACCAGUACCAGGCUGAGGAGUGGGCUGAAGACGUAUUAAAAACACAAAGAUUAAAGGAUAGAAGGAUGAGCAUGCCUUCUGUUUAUUGUUGAAUACAACAUUGUAAAUAAACCAGUAUGUCAGCAAUUAUUUUAUUACUCAGUUUAGAUAUCACUGGGGAACAAAAACAAAAACUGUAGACCAGUCUUUUCAGAAGGCCCUCAAUGAAAGCUACCAACUGCCUUUGAAAUUCAAAGAAAACUCAGGUCCUGACUCUAAAGUACUAGUAAAACCCCAGACUUGAUGUUUCCAAUCUAUUGCCUUUUUUUUUUUUUUUUCCAGUGGAGAAUCAGGAUGGAACAAUGUUGCAAUGUUUAAUUCUUCACAGUUUCAGCAAGCACUCAACUGACUGCUGUAACAGUAACUUGCUUAGAAAGCAAAGCCCUAAAUUAAUUUUCUUCAGCAGACUUGUACACAUUACUGUUUCCAACCUUUAGGGCUACAUUCAUCAUCCUUCUGACCAGAAAAAAAGCCACCAAUUAUUGAACCAUUCCAUUAGAAUGAAAACAGAGUAGAAAUGGAGGAAGGAUUCUUGGAAAAAUUUACACAUCAGAUCACACUUCAGGGUGUUAUUUCAGUAGAAAAUACAUGAUGGUCUAGAAAACUGACAUUGCCUUUUUUUUUUCUUUUUUUUUUUAAUAGAAGUCAGAUUUAUUUUUAUUUUAUAUGAUGACUAGUGAUUUACAUUUCACCCACCCAUUUGAGAGUGUUCAGGGCUCCAGGCAUAUCUCCAGUCAGAACCAGACUAUUCAAAUCAUUGUUGGUCCAUCCAUUUGCUAGUCACAACAAGGCCUUCUGUGACUAAUUAUGACCUGACGGCAGCAGGAGAGGCAGCUUCAAAGAAUGGGAAUCUUCAGACGCACUAGCAGUUCCCUUGGUUCCCAAAUUUUUUAUUUAUGUGGAUUACAUUGAGUUGACAGAUUUAACUGGGCUGUUGAAGAUAUGGUCAAAGAAGCAGAGUCACUCCCUUCCCUUUUAUUGUUUUCUGAAGACAUAACAGUCAUAUGCAUCUGUCAUUAAAGAGAGGAAGUUCUCCAUCACUGGACUUCAUUUGGGCUUUUAUUUGCUGUUUCAGUAGCAUCUGGGAGUAGAUCAAUAUAAUAUUUGGUAGGGAGUUGUAUUUCCUCGUGAUGCACUGUAAAUCUUUUAUUGAAGGUACUCCCUCUGUUUAUUGUUGAAAAUCGAUAAAAAUAAACCUUGUAAAGUUAAAGCCUGGCAAUGGUUCAGCACAAAUCAGAGGGAAGAAGCAAUGAGCCUCCCUCCUCCUCUUGGAUAACUCCCAGCUUGUUUCUCAAUGAAUAUUCAGUAACACUUUCCAGCAAUCUGGGAACAAAUUUUAAAAAAAAAAAAAAAAAAAAUUCAAAGUCAUGAAUGCUUCGUUGUGAACUCAAACAGGGCUUCUGAUCCACUUUGGUGGCUUUCUGGUACUGAAUUGGAAUAUACCUUUAGACUUAUCCACUCCAGAGACAGACAAAAGCACAUCAGCCUUGUUCAGCUCAGAUUAAAGGAGUUAUUGCUGAGCAUUGGAAAGCUGGGAAAUAACCAAAAUAGGUAGAAAGUAGGAAGAGCCCAAUGUGCAGAAAAGUUUCUCCAAAGAUAACAGAAGUAACUACCCCUGGGCAUGAUACAGUUACUCCAGCAUCAUUCUUUCACCCUAUGGCUAUUAUUCCUCAUAUACAGCCUCUUAGGGAGCACUUUUCUACUAUUUCCAUGAAAUUCAGUGGUUUGGAAUUAUUUAGUUGAGGGGGAAAUUUCCCAGUACUGUGGCCAGAGCAAAGAGAUCAGUCUUAAUCUAAACAGUAUCUCAGUCUAUAGUAUCAGUUUUAAUAGCUUUAUUUAAACUUCUAUUCUUAAUAAAUUAUACGUUCACAUGAACACUGGCUGCAGAACCUGUAAGAAUGCAGUGACUGCACUUCCCAAAGAAACAAAAACCCCCAUGAACUGUCAUACUGAAAUCAAUACUCAAAGAACAAGAAGGUAUUUCACAACAGACUCUCUCCUUCCUGCUAUCAGCAGAUUACUGAACAAUUUGGGUGGUAAAUAAAUUACAUGUCCCCAGAAGAGAUAAGAAGGACAUGAGAACUUUCCACUGUGUGAAGAAGCAGUCAUAAAGUUAGCUAUAAGCACAAAAAAUUACAUCAAUCACUACAAAAGGAAAUCAUCACAGUACAAGAAUGGGAAGAUGGGAAAAAUGUGGUGCCUCUAUCCCACUGGGAUAUCCAACAGGCACCAAAAGAUUGUGCUGGUAAAGGCCUUGACAGGGCUUUACAUAAUAAGGAAUAAAUAAAUAAUAUAGAAAUACAGGCUGCAAUCCAACUAUAAAGGAGGGAAAGGUGAUUAAAAUACAAAAGAAAACGAGGUGUUGCCUUUCUCAGUCAUCUGCUGUUUACAAAUCCACCAAGCUAUCACCUCUUCUUAGACGAUCUACUGCUGCCAUGCAAACUGCUGCCCGUGUGGGACAGGAUGAUGGUGUUAUCUUACCUAGUGAUCUGUUUACUGCUCUGGCAGUCUGCUUGCCUGCUACAAAGCCAAGGAGAGCUCACUGCUUGCUGUGAGUGAGAGAGAGGGCUGCCCCAGCACUGCAGCAGUCCCUUUCUAGCAUCUAGGACAGUGGAGCAGUUUGCACAUUUCUGCUGAAUCCAGGGAAUAAUAAAAAGGUAAAUACAGCAGUUAAAUUUACUGAAAUCAGCAAAUUUUGCAUCUUCCCAGGAAAAAGAAAGGAAUUCUCUUGAGAAAGUUGGCAAUGACGAUGAAGUGGAUCAUGUCAGGGAUAACAAAUUUUGUCAUUGGAAAAAGGAGUCUAAAUGUGUCAAAAUCCCAUUCCUAUUUAAUCAAAAAUAGAGCUAGAUGUGAGCAAUCAGAGCUUCUGGCUCUGUCACAUGUAAAAGCAUGACCAAGUCACCUACAAUACAUUGCUAGUCUAAGAGAGAUUGUGCUGUGAGGUAUCAGAGUUAACUUGCCUGCCAAGAUCUGGGUGAAAGUACUCGGUUUAACACAUAAUCUGGUUUUGACCAAGCAGCUUUUUGAAUCACUCAGACUUGUAGUCCCCAUCAGCCAAGUUCACUUCUACUUGUACAGCUGUUCCCUUCCUCGCAAACGCACCCGUGUGAACCACUCUGCUGAGCACUUACCACAUGGUCUGCUCUCCGCUGCAUCCCUGUUUUGGGGGACCUCAGAACGGAAGGGGCAGUAACAACAUUGGUCACUCCUAAAUUCCUGCCCUGGUGCCUGCAGGUUACACUGCACACCUCUCCAAAGAGGGCACAGAAGAACUGUCAUCCUGGCUCAGCGAUGCUUUGCAGUAGCAUAAAUAACCAUGCAAGGUGGAGGCCAGCUGAAGAUCCUCCUAGUAAAUCAACACUACUUUUAUAUUAACUUGUCUUCAAAUGAACAUAAUUUUAUCCCUUCUUCCAUGAUUAUUGCGAUUUAGUUGUAGCUUGAAGCUACACAACACCAGUAGCUCUACCAUCCCUGCUUUCAUUUUCUGUAUCAAGAAAUCCAGGAAGGUGCUUUCUGUUGAAGAAGCAGCUUCAAUUAAAUUUAUUAAUUCAAUUAACCUUCAAUUAACAUCAUUAGUUAUCCUACUAGCCACAACACAUUUCUAUCAGGUUCUUCACACACACACACACUCUCAAACUUAUUUAAGCAACUAUCAGUUAAAAAAAAAAAAAAAACCAACAAAAUGAAAGUGUUGUAUAAGAGCCCAGUCAUGUUCUCUGCAGGCACACAAGUGACAGAAGGUGACAAUUCACAGUUCAUUGCUAAGUAAGAGUAAAUGCUAGAAGAACUCUGGGAAUCCAAGCUUGCUGACAGUCAUGUGUUUCGCUUCAAAAAGACAUGUAGUCUCACAGUAUGCCAUUACCCAAGGUCAAGGUAAAGCAUGUACAGUCCUUUACAUGACAGGAAAUUGCACUGGUAUAUUUUUCCAAAUAUAAUGAGAGCCAAAAUAAUGCAUUCAUAGAACGAUGUUGGUGCUGAAUAAAAAUUAAUCCGUGAGGGGAACCAAAAAGUGUUCAGCAUUAGCCCAUCAUAAGUUGUUACUGAAAUGGUUGUACCAAAUAUUCAUUUUGCGAAAGACGUGGACCAUGGGUGAUGCCAUAGGUUAAAACUCCAGGGCUUUUUAAAGAAGGAAAUAUUUCAUAUUUUCUUUCACUUUAUUUAUAAAAAAAGUAAUCCAAACUUCAAUUUUCCAAGUGGCUGCUACAGCAAGGAAAAUAAAGUCAGUAUUCUUGUGGUAGAUGAAAUAGUGUAACUGUUACAAUGAGAGGUUCUGAAACUAGUCUCACUUAGUUUACAUCGCUAUUAUCAUCGAUCAUUUAGGGCAUGACGUCUAAAUACAGCCUCAAGUCUAUUUUUUUAACUUUUUCCAUAAAAAGUGGUCACUUUUUGUCUUGCAUUCUCAUUAUUAUUGGCAAGUUUCUCCAUCAACAGUAUUCACAAUCAACUCACUCAACACUCAACAUUAUUGUUUUCAUACAAGCAGCGUAAUCUCUGUAGUACAGCAACCUGUGGGGACAGGCACCCACACAGCUGUGUCACCUGAAUGCUGCCAUCAGAAGUCUGACCUCAAAGCCCACCAUGACAGGCUUUCUGACACAGACCUUCAGAGAAGGUCUCCACAGAUUCAUAGAACAGGCCAGGCUGGAAGGGAACUCAAAAGAUCAUCUGUGAAUGAUGGUUCUCAUGGUAAGAAAUGUCUUACUUCAAGACAAAUAUGAACAUAGUGACAUGAUUGACAAAAAAAAAAAAAAAAAAUUGACGUGAAAGCAUUCACUCU